rnacentral:rRNA from 1 species
UGGGGAAUAUUGCACAAUGGGCGCAAGCCUGAUGCAGCCAUGCCGCGUGUAUGAAGAAGGCCUUCGGGUUGUAAAGUACUUUCAGCGGGGAGGAAGGGAGUAAAGUUAAUACCUUUGCUCAUUGACGUUACCCGCAGAAGAAGCACCGGCUAACUCCGUGCCAGCAGCCGCGGUAAUACGGAGGGUGCAAGCGUUAAUCGGAAUUACUGGGCGUAAAGCGCACGCAGGCGGUUUGUUAAGUCAGAUGUGAAAUCCCCGGGCGCAACCUGGGAACUGCAUCUGAUACUGGCAAGCUUGAGUCUCGUAGAGGGGGGUAGAAUUCCAGGUGUAGCGGUGAAAUGCGUAGAGAUCUGGAGGAAUACCGGUGGCGAAGGCGGCCCCCUGGACGAAGACUGACGCUCAGGUGCGAAAGCGUGGGGAGCAAACAGG